GACGAACGCUGGCGGCGCGCUUAACACAUGCAAGUCGAACGGAAAGGCCUGCUUUCCCUUGUGGAUUGCGGGUACUCGAGUGUCGAACGGGUGAGUAACACGUGAGUGAUCUGCCCCCAACUUGGGUAUAAGCCUGGGAAACUGGGUCUAAUUCCCGAUAGGACUGCAGGGUUGUGCCUGUGGUGGAAAACGAUUUUCUAGUGGUUGGGGAUGAGCUCGCGGCCUAUCAGCUUGUUGGUGGGGUAAUGGCCUACCAAGGCGGCGACGGGUAGCCGGCCUGAGAGGGUGGACGGCCACAUUGGGACUGAGAUACGGCCCAGACUCCUACGGGAGGCAGCAGUGGGGAAUAUUGCACAAUGGGCGGAAGCCUGAUGCAGCGACGCCGCGUGGGGGAUGACGGCCUUCGGGUAGUAAACUCCUUUCGACCGCGAGGAAGCCACCUGGUUGGAAGGGUGGUGACGGUAGUGGUAGAAGAAGCACCGGCUAACUACGUG
rnacentral:rRNA from 1 species